AGACCAAGGAAGCUCUUCCGACGAUCAACCCAGGAUUGUCCCGCAAACUUCGCGGUUAUGAAAGAGCCCAGCUCCGACUACUGGUCGGGGCUCUUACCGGACAUGCCUUGCUUAGCAAGCACUUACACAAUCUAGGAAGUCGUCGGCAACGUGAAGGGUCUGCUAGGCUUCCUCAAGGAGCUAGGCUGGCACGAAUAGUGCCUUCCGGCCAAUCACGCAAAAAAGGCGCACCAAGACGUCGAGUUGCGGAAAAAAGCCCGUGCAAAA
rnacentral:misc_RNA from 1 species